AGUGAACGCUGGCGGUAGGCCUAACACAUGCAAGUCGAACGGCAGCACAGUAAGAGCUUGCUCUUACGGGUGGCGAGUGGCGGACGGGUGAGGAAUACAUCGGCAUCUACUUUUUCGUGGGGGAUAACGUAGGGAAACUUACGCUAAUACCGCAUACGACCUACGGGUGAAAGCAGGGGAUCUUCGGACCUUUCGCGAUUGAAUGAGCCGAUGUCGGAUUAGCUAGUUGGCGAGGUAAAGGCCCACCAAGGCGAUGAUCCGUAGCUGGUCUGAGAGGAUGAUCAGCCACACUGGAACUGAGACACGGUCCAGACUCCUACGGGAGGCAGCAGUGGGGAAUAUUGGACAAUGGGCGCAAGCCUGAUCCAGCCAUACCGCGUGAGUGAAGAAGGCCUUCGGGUUGUAAAGCCCUUUUGUUGGGAAAGAAAAGAAGCAGGUUAAUACCCCGCUGUUCUGACGGUACCCAAAGAAUAAGCACCGGCUAACUUCGUG
rnacentral:rRNA from 1 species